rnacentral:rRNA from 1 species
GACGAACGCUGGCGGCGUGCUUAACACAUGCCAGUCGAACGGAAAGGCCCUGCUUUUGUGGGGUGCUCGAGUGGCGAACGGGUGAGUAACACGUGAGUAACCUGCCCUUGACUUUGGGAUAACUUCAGGAAACUGGGGCUAAUACCGGAUAGGAGCUCCUGCUGCAUGGUGGGGGUUGGAAAGUUUCGGCGGUUGGGGAUGGACUCGCGGCUUAUCAGCUUGUUGGUGGGGUAGUGGCUUACCAAGGCUUUGACGGGUAGCCGGCCUGAGAGGGUGACCGGCCACAUGGGGACUGAGAUACGGCCCAGAAUCCUACGGGAGGCAGCAGUGGGGAAUAUUGCACAAUGGGCGGAAGCCUGAUGCAGCAACGCCGCGUGCGGGAUGACGGCCUUCGGGUUGUAAACCGCUUUCGCCUGUGACGAAGCGUGAGUGACGGUAAUGGGUAAAGAAGCACCGGCUAACUACGUG